rnacentral:sRNA from 1 species
ACUAUUGCUCAUCAGUAUUUAUUACAUGUUAUCUGUUUACCAAUGUUUUCUUUUUCUUACCCAGGAAUUAUUUACUUAACGUCACCUCUUAGUCAUUUGGAAUCUACCACAAUUUCGUUGAUGGUCUCUGCUCAAGACGGUGGUGGGCUCACAGCUGUCAUUAAUGCCGACAUCACCAUACACAUUUUCCAGACAACUCUGGCACCUGCUGAGUUUGAAAGGCCUAAGUACACUUUCUUAGUUUAUGAAGAUGUGCCUGAAGAUAGUCCCAUUGGAACAGUGAAAGCAAGAGAGCCCUUGAGUAAGUACUUAUUUCUUAUGCUGCAUGGAAGUCCAUUAUUGGAACACUUCUUGUUUUUUCCUAGGCGGUACAAUCUUGAAUAAUUUUUUUCUUCUUUCCACACAAGUCAAAACAAGGGAGAUAACACAACCUGUGGGUUGCUCUUUGUUCUUCCAACAUUGUUUCUGUCCAUCCCACAAUUUUUUUUCUGACCACAAAAAUAAUAGGCAUUUUAAAAAGAAUGUUUAAAACAAUACAGAUUAUAAUAUACAAAAUAUAUGUCUCCUAUAACCCACUCACAAAAACACACACAUGCACACACAAUUUACAAAUUUUUGACAAAAAUGCAUCCUUCUGUAUUUGUUGUUAUAGAGCUUCUUUCCCCACUUAGUAUAUACUGAACAACUUUCCAGAUAACUGGAUGCCAUUCUGUCUCCUUAAAAGACAGUUUAUAGUAUUUCAACUUAGAUAUGUUUUAUGUUUACAUUUGUUACCAAUUUGAAUGAUUUAAAAAAUCUUUCUAGUCCAAAUAGUACUUGAGCAAAUAGCCAUGUGUGUCUUUUUCACACUUGUAGAGGAACCUCUGCAGGAUAAAUUCCUAGAAAUGAAUUACCUUUCCAAAGAGCUUGUCCUCCUCCUGGUCCCCUCCUGUUCCUUCCUCUCUCCCUUCCUUCAGUCUCUAUGGAGAGUAUUUGCCCUUCAUAGAUAGAUAUAAUAGAGAAACAUCAACAUAAAUUUAACUUGACUUCCUCAAAUAUAUAAAAAAAGGUACCCGAAUUAUUUUCUGAAUAUCUUUCCCUUUUAUCUAAUGCAAGAGGGAUGAAGGAAGAAAGUGAAACCUGUGGCUUGCUCUUUGCCCAUUGGGCAUUCUUUUAAUACACCAAAAAAUUCUUAAAACCAUGUAUCCACUUUUCAACAGGUUUUGGAGAGCGGAGGAAGUAAGACAUUGCACAGUAGUCUCUGUAGAUGGAGAACAUACAAUCACACGUCCUUAACGAUGGGAAAUGUUUUGAGAAAUGCCUCAUUCGAAAAUUUUGUCAGUGUGCAGACAUCACAGGGUGUACUCACACGAACCUAGAUGGUGUGGCCUACCAGACACCUAGGCUAAAUGUUAUAGUCGAUUGCUCCCAGGCUACAAACCUGCACAGCAUAUUACUGCACUUAAUACUGUAGGCAGUUGUACCCCAAUGGUAAGGAUUUAUGUAUGUGAACAUAGAAAAGGUACAAUAAAAUACGGCGUCAGAAUCUUACAGAACCAUCAUAGUAUAUGCGGUCCAUCAUUGACUGAAGUGUCAUUAGGCAGUGGAUGACUGUAUUAAUAUUUCAAUUUCUAAGUUUCCAGUGAGUCCACCCUUUUGACAUACAGUGGUUGUCCCCUCUUUCUUUUUCAGACUCCUCAGAACCAAUCUUUUACAGGAUUUCUUCUGGUGAUCUCGGCGGAAUGUUCUCCAUUCACCCGUGGCUGGGCACUAUUCGCACCCGGAAGCCCCUGGAUCACGAGACGCAGCCCGUGGUUGUGCUCACGGUGCAGGCGCAGCUCAGCAGCGCCCCAGCUUGCAGCAGCACGGAGGUCAACAUAACAGUCGUGGAUGUCAAUGACAACCACCCAGCGUUCCUCAGGACCUCGGAUGAGAUUAGAAUAUCCCAGACCACGGCCCCUGGCACAGCCUUGUACCUCGCACGUGCGGAAGACAGAGACAGUGGGCGGAACGGACUCAUCCAGUACUCCAUCGCCAGCCCGCAGCCGGGCGUCUUUGCCAUCGACAGAGCCCUGGGGGUGCUGUUCCUCAACGGCAGCCUGGGCGCGAGCAAGCACCGGGAGCUCGCGCUGACUCUCAGGGCCGAGGACCAAGGCGUGCCUCCUCAGGCAGCCCUGCUGGUGCUGACAGUCGUUAUCGAGAAACACGAACACAGCCCAUCCUGGGCUUUCGAACAUUUGGUUUAUCAAGUGGAAGUCAGUGAGUCUCUCUCACCGAUGACACAAAUACUGCAAACAC